rnacentral:lncRNA from 1 species
GUUUGAUUUAACAUGAAGGUGAGGGAUGUAGAUGGAGGGCCCAGAGCCCAAGGCCAAGACAAGUGGCCAAGAACAUUCUUUGCUCAAGAAUCCAGUCCCUGCUCCCAGAAAGACACAAUGAGUGUUCCAAACGAGUGGAUGCGAUAAGAAAAUGUGGCUACUCACGUCCAGCCAUGAAGCAUUCAUUCCUCAUUUUUGCCUUUGUCUUUCAGCGGUGGGCUUCAAUUGCUACAAGACUGAUGUGAGGUUCCCAACCAUCAUCAAAACAGUCGCUGCUCGUAGGACGGAAGUCUGUGCCUCAAUAUUUUUGUACUUGCGUUAUAAUGGCAGAGAUAUAGAAAGAAAUGUUGUUACAGCUUUGGAUGCUGUUGAAAGAUGCAAUGUACAGGAAGUAAAUGGCUCUAUAUAUCCUACUCUGUGCUGCGCAACUGAUCUCUGUAAUGCUAAAAGACCGUGACAAGAUAUUUCUGGUUUCAACCUGUGAUUAACCACCAGAACCAUCUCCUUUCAUAAAGCCUGAUGUAUAAUUCCACAGACAAAUAAUAAAGGAGCAUUCAAAUCCA